GGCCCCGUCGUCUAGCGGUUAGGACAUCAGAUUUUCAAUCUGGUAACAGGGGUUCAACUCCCCUCGGGGCUG
rnacentral:tRNA from 1 species